AGGCGUUGCUCGUGGAAUGGCUCC
rnacentral:siRNA from 1 species